GCCGCGGUGGGCGGGGCCAUGAAGGAGGGGAGGUGUUGCCCCGCAGAGGGCCCGCGAGGGCUCAGCCUUUAAGGGCUGCCAGUGGGGACGACCUCUGAGCGUGUUAGGAGGCCGUUGCUUUCCCGAGGGGCUCUCUUCUAGGCUCAGUCCGGUGUCAGCAUGGCCCGAGGAAAUCAGCGAGAACUUGCCCGCCAGAAAAACAUGAAGAAAUCCCAGGAAAUUAGCAAGGGAAAAAGGAAAGAGGAUAGCUUGACCACCUCUCAGAGAAGGCAGAGGGACUCUGAGAUAAUGCAACAAAAGCAGAAGGCAGCUAAUGAGAAGAAGUCUAUGCAGACGAGAGAAAAAUGAUGACUAUUUGGAAAAACCUGGGUGUUAUUGCCAACUAGGUGUAUCAUAAGCUCUAAGGUCAAAAUUUUGUGGAGCAAACAGUCAUAUGUUAUAUCCUUAUAAAACUAUUUUAAACUUUACCUUUCAGCCUGACUUAGUGUAAUGUUUCAGAACCAUUCUUCAAAGAAUAAAACACUAACCAUUCAUGUGAUAUAUUGGUGAACGUUAUUUUUUUUUAUCAGCGGUGAGCAUUUUUAUAAUUUGCUAGAGAGGUAACAUGAUAUAAUAGAAUCUCCUAUAAAUCUAGAAUUUUGUCAUAAACUUUGUUAAAGUAGAUCUUAUUUAAAGUCAGCUUGAUUGUAUAAUAGAAUUUAUGAUAUAUUUAUCUAAUGUUGCUUUGUAAUUAACUGGUUUGGUUGAAGAAUUUACAAGAGAUAGUACAGACCCACCUGGAAUAGCAACUAAAUGAAUACAAACUAAACGAAGAGUAACUUACUGAGAAAAUUCUUGGAGUUUUGCUUACAGCUUUAAAAUUUUUUGGAGUAAGUGCCUUUCUUUUAAUAGACUAUAUUCUUUAGAACAGAUUUAGGUUCACAAUAA